rnacentral:sRNA from 1 species
AGGGCCUGGAGAGGGUGGGUGUGAGAGAGAAGGUGUCUCAGGUCUCGGGCGCGGGAGGGGGUGGCGGAGAGGACAGGGAGAUUCCCCAGCGCUGGCUCUGAAAUCUGGGGCAGGCUUUCCUUGCCUUACUGCCAAUCCCAACUGUGCCUGGUAGGGUUUGUCCCUGGCGUCAAAGGUAGGAACAGCUGAGCCUUUAGAUGUACCCCUGACGGCGAGAGCCCAGGAGUGGGCGUUUCACUUUUCCUGCGUUUGGGGAGUCCCUGAGGCUAUGCCCUUUGACCUUUGACAUGUGUGCAGCUUCUGCUUCUCCAGACCAGAGUUCCUUCAUGUAGAGUACAAGAUGAUCCAGGCAGCGUUCGACCUAUUUUUAUUGAUUUGAAAUCUAAGGCAAUACGAUACGGAAAACAUGAAUCAAAGAGACCGACCAUUCAUGACAAUUCAGAGAAAUGAUAGCUCAG